UACGAAGGGGGCUAGCGUUGCUCGGAAUCACUGGGCGUAAAGCGCACGUAGGCGGAUUCGCAUAGUCGAGGGUGAAAUCCUGGAGCUCAACUCCAGAACUGCCUUCGAUACUGGCGAUGCUCGAGUCCGGGAGAGGUGAGUGGAACUGCGAAGUGUAGAGGUGAAAUUCGUAGAUAUCGCAAGAACACCAGUGGCGAAGGCGGCUCACUGGCCCGAUACUGACGCUGAGGCACGGAAAGCGUGGGGAGCAAACAGG
rnacentral:rRNA from 1 species